AGUCAAGACAACCACUCCCAGUCUGUGCUUCUACUUUUACAGAAUUUUAGAACUUUUUCACAAUGAGAGUUGUAGAAUGUGUGUUCCUCCUGGCUCUCAUCUCAGCUGUUCAGGGGCAGUCACUCACCUCUUCUGAGCCAUUAGUGAAGAGCCCUGGAGAGUCAGUAACACUGUACUGUACUGUGUCUGGUCUGCCCCUGAGCUGGUUACACUGGAUCCGUCAGAAACCAGGGAAAGGUCUAGAGUGGAUUGGACGCAUUGACAGUGGCACUGGCACUAUAUUUUCCCAGUCUCUACAGGGUCAGUUCACCAUCACCAAAGACAACUCCAAAAACCAGCUGUACUUAGAGGUGAAAAGCCUGAAGACUGAAGAUUCUGCUGUUUAUUAUUGUGCCAGAGACACAGUGACACAGGAGGCUGCAGCGGCGUACAAAAACUGCUCAACACUGAACCCAGUUUGA